GAUGAACGCUAGCUACAGGCUUAACACAUGCAAGUCGCGGGACGGGCGCACGGGUGAGUAACGCGUACCCAACCUGCCCUUCACCACGGGAUAACCCGGCGAAAGGCGGAAUAAUACCGUAUGGGGGAGGGUGGGGUUGCGUCCGAUUAGGUUUACGGCGGGGUAACGGCCCGCCGUGGCUACGUUGGGUAGGGGGUCUGAGAGGAAGGUCCCCCACACUGGAACUGAGACACGGUCCAGACUCCUACGGGAGGCAGCAGUGAGGAAUAUUGGUCAAUGGGCGUAAGCCUGAACCAGCCAAGUAGCGUGCAGGACGACGGCCUAUGGGUUGUAAACUGCUUUUAUGCGGGGAUAGGUACCGCAUGAAUAAGGACCGGCUAAUUCCGUGCCAGCAGCCGCGGUAAUAC
rnacentral:rRNA from 1 species